GCCAUUGUAGCUUAAAGGUAGAGCACUAGUCUCGUAAACUAGAGGUUCCAGGUUCAAGUCCUGGCAAUGGCU
rnacentral:tRNA from 1 species